rnacentral:RNase_P_RNA from 2 species
AGAGUGAGCUAAACGGUCGCGUGAUACUGCGGUAUAUGCGCUCAAAAACGCACGUAUUUGCAGGUAUUAUGAGGAAAGUCCGGGCUCCUAAGAGCAAGAUGCCAGCUAACAGCUGGGCAGAGUAAUCUGACGGAUAAGUGCCACAGAAAAGAAAACUCGCGCUGUAUACGUGCCACAUUUCGUGACAACAUACAACGCGAAAAGCUGAAACGGUGCGGUAAGAGCGCACCAGUGCAUUGGUAACAAUGUAGCUUGGUAAACCCCAUCUGGAGCAAGCGCAAGUAGGAAUGCGAUACAGGCGCUCUUCUGUGCAUUCGGGUUGCGUGCUUGAAGCAUGUAGUGAUAUAUGCUCUAGAUAAAUGGCCGUUCACGACAGAACCCGGCUUAUAGGCUCACUCGCUUU